CCUCCACGCUGAAGGUCAAUGUGGCGGUAAAAGGUGGAGGCUCUCCAUCAUUCGCUGCAGACAGGAGCCUGAGGUUUGCGGGUUGUGGCUCCAGGAUCGGAUUCACUUCAACUCAAGAGGUACGAUGGUGUUAGUCACGGAAACUCGUCACGGGACACAAGCCAUGUUCGAAGCAUGCACAUGACACGUUUAACAUUUCCACCCUUUCAAACUAUUUUAUACUACUACUACUAUAUUAUUGUAUGUAUCCUUAUUAUAUAAUAACCUCUCUGUAAUGAUUAAGGAAGCCACCACGUGUUAGCAGUGACACUUCCUACCGCUGCAUUAAAAGACGGUGUCACCAAAUCAACAAGAGCAGAAAUCUUCUUCUAUUUUAAAUUUCCUCCUCAAAAAUGCGUGAAUUUAUUUGUAAAUGUUUCUUAACUUCUCCAAUUCAUAUAAACUGUAACGUAAAAGGGCAUCUGAAGCUGAUGUGAACAGAAAUAAAAGGAGGUAGCCAGUAAAAUCACUUCCUGUGAGACAGGAAGUAGCCAGUAAAAUCACUUCCUGUGAGGCAGGAAGUAGCCAGUAAAAUCACUUCCUGUAAGGCAGGAAGUAGCCAGUAAAAUCACUUCCUGUAAGGCAGGAAGUAGCCAGUAAAAUCACUUCCUGUAAGGCAGGAAGUAGCCAGUAAAAUCACUUCCUGUAAGGCAGGAAGUAGCCAGUAAAAUCACUUCCUGUGAGACAAGAAGUAGCCAGUAAAAUCACUUCCUGUGAGACAGGAAGUAGCCAGUAAAAUCACUUCCUGUAAGGCAGGAAGUAGCCAGUAAAAUCACUUCCUGUAAGCCUCAGAGUUCUAGUGACUGUUUAUAGCAGUUACAAUCUGUACGCGGCUAGCUCGUCAUUUAGCCUGGCUAAUCUAUUUUGACAAGCCAGUAGCUAGGUAAGCUAGUAGCUUAGCCUCUGACCCUGCAGCAGAACCCUCCUUUCAGCUCCUGGUCUGGAAGUUCAUGAGUGGUUCUGGGUGGGUUCACCUUAAACCUUCAGCCCCGGCUGGAAGUUCUACACGGCUUUGCUGAUUUACACUCUCGGACUCCGAUAGCGAAUCGGUGCUUAAGUUUCUGCUUCUGCAACGAUUACCGAGAACUAUCGCGCUGCAACAUCUGUGAUGCAGCUGGUGAUGAUGUCACCGGCCUCUCACGUAAAGCUGUAUUGCUUCUCAGAGGUUUUCAUUUAAUAAGACACGUGUGCGAAUAACUUGAGUGGUUUCACUUCGUACAGGGUUAUAAAUAACGAGUCGCCCUAUUUAGUUAUAAGCGUGCGUGAAAAGGCACAAACGUAACGAUGUUGGUUCAGUUCGACACGUGGAGGAAUACGUGACAGUGAGGUCAAAGGUCAGUCCUUAUAAAAUGUGUUCACACAGCUAAAAGAUGGCCGACGGAGAAACAGAGAGGCACUAAAAUAAAUAAAGAGGGUGGGGGGGGUAAUUAACGCGUUAAUCCCCAGAGAAAAACUCAAAUUCAGACCCAAUUAAGGGCAACUUUCAGUUUUCCUGUCAGGUAUAAAUUAUUUCUUCUGGUUGUAGAAAUAACUUGAUGGUUAAGAUGAUUUGUUGGCUUUGGUUUGCUCAUUAGAUCAUUAGAGAUUUGAUCAGCUAGGAGUUAAAUGUUUUUCCUUUCGUGCUUUUAAUACAAAGCCCAGCAAUGCUCACGUCUUUUAUAUUCAGGGUAAUAUUUCUAAGAUUAAUUUGUAGAACCCAGAGAAUCAGAGAAUCAGACAGAAGGACCUCGCCAUGGCACAGAUACGUCUCGUGGUGUUGGUUUUUAUUGUUGACAGUUGUAUAGGUCUAUUCUGACCUGUAUCAAUAGCUUCUGCUUCAUCCCAGCCUCUCUCUCUGUCUGUCCAAAUGUCCCUCCUCCCCUCCGAUGAAGCAGUUGUAAUGUCAUUAUAUGUCAAAGGACCAGAAACCCUGGCCAGUCUGUAAUCCUUAGUAACCUGCACGAGAUCACAGACAGUCAAGUGUAAAUAAAGAAGGACAGGUGGAGACAAGGAGAGGGAGACA
ensembl:lncRNA